CCUACGGGAGGCAGCAGUGGGGAAUUUUGGACAAUGGGGGCAACCCUGAUCCAGCCAUUCCGCGUGAGUGAAGAAGGCCUUCGGGUUGUAAAGCUCUUUCGGCAGGAACGAAACGGCGGGCUCUAACAUAGCCUGUCACUGACGGUACCUGAAGAAGAAGCACCGGCUAACUACGUGCCAGCAGCCGCGGUAAUA
rnacentral:rRNA from 1 species